rnacentral:tRNA from 1 species
UGGGGUGUGGCUCAGUGGUGGAGCGCUUGCCUAGCACAUGUGAGGCACUGGGUUCAAUCCUCAGCACCACAU